UGGUCUCACCACGCGUUACUCAUUAAUGUUUUUUUUUUUCAAUCAAUGGGUUGCGCGUAGCGAGGCCAUUC
ensembl:miRNA mir-8204 ncRNA